GGACGCAAGUCUGAUGGAGCACGCCGCGUGAGUGAAGAAGGUUUUCGGAUCGUAAAGCUCUGUUGUUGGUGAAGAAGGAUAGAGGCAGUAACUGGUCUUUAUUUGACGGUAAUCAACCAGAAAGUCACGGCUAACUACGUGCCAGCAGCCGCGGUAAUACGUAGGUGGCAAGCGUUGUCCGGAUUUAUUGGGCGUAAAGCGAGCGCAGGCGGAAUGAUAAGUCUGAUGUGAAAGCCCACGGCUCAACCGUGGAACUGCAUCGGAAACUGUCAUUCUUGAGUGCAGAAGAGGAGAGUGGAACUCCAUGUGUAGCGGUGGAAUGCGUAGAUAUAUGGAAGAACACCAGUGGCGAAGGCGGCUCUCUGGUCUGCAACUGACGCUGAGGCUCGAAAGCAUGGGUAGCGAACAGGAUUAGAUACCCUGGUAGUCCAUGCCGUAAACGAUGAGCGCUAGGUGUUGGGGACUUUCCGGUCCUCAGUGCCGCAGCAAACGCAUUAAGCGCUCCGCCUGGGGAGUACGACCGCAAGGUUGAAAC
rnacentral:rRNA from 1 species